CCCCAGCGCCUGGCAAGUGCUGAGGAAGAAGCCACCUGAGCGGACCCCUGAGGCUGAACACUCUUAAAGAACCAAGCUACAUAUGUGGUGCAACUGGUCUCCAGAGCCGCCCGCUCCCACAGCAUAUCCAGUGGUUCCAGUGCCGAGCUGGAACCAGAGGAUGACGUGGAAACCAGAUCAAAAGGGAACCUGAGGUACUACAAAGACCUCUGUGGCACCAAAGGGAAUAAAAAAGAAGAAAGAACUCCUUGCAUGGUCUUCCUACGAUUAAAGAUUGGAAAUACACAAAACUGAGCACAAACAGCUCCCAGAUAACAAGCUCCAACUGGGAGGGCUUGAUUGCUAUCAAGCAAGAGUGAAGGAGGCCUGCAGCAGAGCUGGCAGCAGUUGUGUGUGUGAUCCAUGUGAGAGAUUUCCAGCUCCUGGAUGUCCCAGAAGAAAAGCCUGUUACCACCACGACUGGAAAGCCAGGAUGGAUCCAGGAGCACAAGAGCCUCAUCACAAGAUAAACACUCACUGGGACAUCCAGCCCAGCCCCAGGGCAAGCUCACUGAGAUCAGAGCUGCUCCGAAUUCAUUGGUAGUCUGGACAUGCAUCGUGGCACCCCCUGACAGCAGGAAUUCAGCUGUGUGGAUAACUACAGAGUAAUUAACCAGGGUCAAAGCAAGGUUUCGUUUCAGAAAAGCCUCCCAGAGAACCCAUAUCAUGUUCCAGACCCUCAGGUGCUGGAGACAGUUGCCUCAUUCCACUUGGUCAUGGCAGCUGGAUCAUCAUCUGAACAGUGACCAUUCAGCUGUGGCCACCAGGCUCUGAUUUAGACUUCACAUUCCCUUCAACCUGACCCUUGAGUCUAUAAUUACAAAGCAAAACAUCUCCAACAACAAAUAAAAAAAGGACGAGAGCUGUAUAUUGGGUAAACCUAGGUUUGUAGCCAGAAGACAUAUAUUCCAAUACUGGCUUCAGUACUUAACUAGUUUUUAAUCCAUAGGCAAAUAACUUAAUCAUGCUGGACCUCAGUUUUCUCAUCUGUGCAAAG
rnacentral:lncRNA from 1 species